rnacentral:tRNA from 1 species
CUCCAGUUAGCCUAGUGGUGAGGGCUAUGGAUCGCCAAUCUGGAGACGGCGGGUUCGAUUCCCGUUCUGGUCG